AGUUGGGCACUCUAAGGUGACUGCCGGUGACAAACCGGAGGAAGGUGGGGAUGACGUCAAAUCAUCAUGCCCCUUAUGACCUGGGCUACACACGUGCUACAAUGGGCAGAACAAAGGGCAGCGAAGCCGCGAGGCUAAGCCAAUCCCACAAAUCUGUUCUCAGUUCGGAUCGCAGUCUGCAACUCGACUGCGUGAAGCUGGAAUCGCUAGUAAUCGCGGAUCAGCAUGCCGCGGUGAAUACGUUCCCGGGCCUUGUAACACCGCCCGUCAC
rnacentral:rRNA from 1 species